CAGUCGCCGCGGGAAUACGAAGGGUGCAAGCGUUACUCGGAAUUACUGGGCGUAAAGCGUGCGUAGGCGGCUAAUUGAGUCGGAUGUGAAAUCCCCGAGCUUAACUUGGGAAUUGCAUUCGAUACUGGUUAGCUAGAGUGUGGGAGAGGAUGGUAGAAUUCCAGGUGUAGCGGUGAAAUGCGUAGAGAUCUGGAGGAAUACCGAUGGCGAAGGCAGCCAUCUGGCCUAACACUGACGCUGAGGUACGAAAGCAUGGGGAGCAAACAGGAUUAGAUACCCGGGUAGUCCCUGUCUCUUAUAC
rnacentral:rRNA from 1 species